rnacentral:lncRNA from 1 species
GACUCUGACUCUGUGCCCCCACUGUACCCCUCCUUUUAGGUGAACACAAAGGGAGGGAGGGAGGAAGUACAGCCAGACACUUUCUGGAAGGAUCUGGAGAACUUCUAACCGCAGAGGAAGAUGUGACGUCACAGGACAGAACGCUGCGGCUUGGUGUUAUCCUCAUUCCUGAAGCAAAUUCCUCAUCCUCUCGUACUUCCCUCUGCCCACACCUCCGGCUGACACCAUUCCCCAUCGGGAUGCUUCUCCAUCAGGGCUUUUUCCAGAAGUGUAUGAUCUCCCGGUGCUGGGUCUCCACAUCCAGAGCAACCUGGAACUGCAGACUCCACCCUGGGGUCCCAGGGGCACUGAAGUCCAGCUGCCUCCAGCUCAAGGACAUUCCUUUAAGGCCCUUCUGCGACCCGCUGUGCCUCCUGCACUUGAGGUAGGACGGAAGCCUGGGACAACACCUUGAUACCUGCUCCCGGAUGUCCUCUCCGACCUCCACCCAGGCCACCUUAAUUCCUUCUCUCCUUUCUGUUGAACAUCUGGUGCCAACAUCUGGGCAGUGAACCCGCCCCAUCCCAUUUCCCAGUGCAUCUGUGAGCCUGCUCCCCACCUCCCCUCUGAGAUGUCUGCAGACCAACAGCCUGCUCGGCACUCAGGGGCCUGGCAGUGCAGGGCCCCUCAUUAUCACUGCAGUUGUCAUCACUACCAACAGGCACAGGAGCCCCCGAGAUUUCUGUUCUGACAUUUUUGCAUUUCUAAAAGGCAAUAUGGAGCUGUAAAACAAAACAAUGAGAGUUAAGAGAGGUAGGUUCUUAAAUAUCACCUGUAGGCUCAAUAAAGGAGCGGUUACAUGAAUAAUGACACAUUCACUACUCUAAAAUCAUUUAUGAUUUUAAGGUGUUUUAUUAUAGUAAUAAUUUUGCUGAGUACUUAGCAUAUAACACAUACCGGGCUAGAAGCUUUCUCAUAAAUUUAACUCAUUUAAUCCCCGCGAGAACCUCAUAAUGUAGGUGCAGGUAUUGGAAUUACUUUCAAUUGUUAUCACUACAAUUCCCAUUUUACAAAUGAGAAAAUUGAGUCUUUUAUAAGAUCAUCAACUAAGGCUUCUAACGUAAUGUUGAGGUGAAGA